GUGUGUGUGUGUGUGUAGCCCACAUUAAAGACCCCCUUCAGUCAUAAAUGAUCAUGGGAUUGCACCCAGAAAGUUCCCCUUCGAGGCACAAAUCCAGGCAUGGUUGUUUAAGAAAGACCAGCAGUCACCCAUGCAUUCCCUCUCCAUACCACUGAUGUUACCCAAGGGAAAGGCAAAGGGGCCGAUGCAGCUUGGCAC